AUUGAACGCUGGCGGCAUGCUUUACACAUGCAAGUCGAACGGCAGCACGGACUUCGGUCUGGUGGCGAGUGGCGAACGGGUGAGUAAUACAUCGGAACGUACCCAGUAAUGGGGGAUAACUAGUCGAAAGAUUAGCUAAUACCGCAUACGCCCUACGGGGGAAAGAGGGGGAUCGCAAGACCUCUUGUUAUUGGAGCGGCCGAUGGCUGAUUAGCUAGUUGGUGGGGUAAAGGCCUACCAAGGCGACGAUCAGUAGCGGGUCUUAGAGGACGAUCCGCCACACUGGAACUGAGACACGGUCCAGACUCCUACGGGAGGCAGCAGUGGGGAAUCUUGGACAAUGGGCGAAAGCCUGAUCCAGCAAUGCCGCGUGCGUGAAGAAGGCCUUCGGGUUGUAAAGCGCUUUUGUCUGGGAGCAAAUCCUUGUGGCUAAUACCCACCGGGGAUGAGAGUACCAGAAGAAUAAGGACCGGCUAACUACGUGCCAGCCGCCGCAGUAA
rnacentral:rRNA from 1 species